rnacentral:rRNA from 1 species
GUCCACGCCCUAAACGAUGAAUACUUGGUGUUGGCCGGCAACGGUCAGUGCCGUAGGAAACCUGAUAAGUAUUCCACCUGGGGAGUACGCUCGCAAGGGUGAAACUCAAAGGAAUUGACGGGGGCCCGCACAAGCGGUGGAGCAUGUGGUUUAAUUCGAUGCAACGCGAAGAACCUUACCUGGGCUUGAACUGCUGGUGGUAGGACCCUGAAAGGGGAACGACCCGCAAGGGAGCCAGUAGAGGUGCUGCAUGGCUGUCGU